AUUUGACCAUUUUUCCAGCUAUGAUCACCAACUUGAGUAUCAAACAACUUCUGACCACUGCUUGAAUUAUUCCAUUCUCCGUGGUCUUUACUGCAAUGUGUGUUCCACUCUUGGAUAAAUAAAUCAACAAGUUUCUUUUCAACAUCUGUAAGUACUUUCUGCAGAGAGGAGUUAUUAAUUUCUUCUCUUGACUGCAUCUAAAGAUCAUAAAAUCAUUAAUAUUAUCAUACAUUGGUUCUUUAAUUGGAUUUUAUAGACAACUAAAAUUGUUGAAGAUCAAACAUAGCUACGUAAAGUUACAGUUUUACUUGUACGUGUAAAUGAAUAUCGAGGAUGGCAGCUGAAAACAACGCAAUUGGACAUUUUAGUUUUCCUGCAUUUAGGCAUUUGGCUACAUUUUGGUAGUGGCGUCGCCAUGAUUUUGUGAGUGGGGGGUGGGGGCAAAAAAUUUGUACCACGUCCGUCGCUAGCGAAAUGGCCCUAAAACAGCUUCUGCGCUGGAAAUUUUUGAAUUAUAUAUCACAACAUGAGUACUUUCAAUUUUUUAACUUCCCACUUAAACCCUGCGGAUUUGUACAUUCUUCGUGUUAUAACGUUACGUAGAUUGAUUAUUGAUUUUAAUGAAAUGUUUUCAUAUUUUAA